rnacentral:rRNA from 1 species
CACUAUCGUUAACUGAAUACAUAGGUUAACGAGGCGAACCGGGGGAACUGAAACAUCUAAGUACCCCGAGGAAAAGAAAUCAACCGAGAUUCCCCCAGUAGCGGCGAGCGAACGGGGAGCAGCCCAGAGUCUGAAUCAGCUUGUGUGUUAGUGGAACGGUCUGGAAAGUCCGACGGUACAGGGUGAUAGUCCCGUACACCAAAAUGCACAGGCUGUGAACUCGAAGAGUAGGGCGGGACACGUGGUAUCCUGUCUGAAUAUGGGGGGACCAUCCUCCAAGGCUAAAUACUCCUGACUGACCGAUAGUGAACCAGUACCGUGAGGGAAAGGCGAAAAGAACCCCGGCGAGGGGAGUGAAAAAGAACCUGAAACCGUGUACGUACAAGCAGUGGGAGCACCUUCGGGUGUGACUGCGUACCUUUUGUAUAAUGGGUCAGCGACUUAUAUUCUGUAGCAAGGUUAACCGUAUAGGGGAGCCGCAGGGAAACCGAGUCUUAACUGGGCGUUAAGUUGCAGGGUAUAGACCCGAAACCCGGUGAUCUAGCCAUGGGCAGGUUGAAGGUUGGGUAACACUAACUGGAGGACCGAACCGACUAAUGUUGAAAAAUUAGCGGAUGACUUGUGGCUGGGGGUGAAAGGCCAAUCAAACCGGGAGAUAGCUGGUUCUCCCCGAAAGCUAUUUAGGUAGCGCCUCGUGAAUUCAUCUUCGGGGGUAGAGCACUGUUUCGGCUAGGGGGUCAUCCCGACUUACCAACCCGAUGCAAACUACGAAUACCGAAGAAUGUUAUCACGGGAGACACACGGCGGGUGCUAACGUCCGUCGUGAAGAGGGAAACAACCCAGACCGCCAGCUAAGGUCCCAAAGUCAUGGUUAAGUGGGAAACGAUGUGGGAAGGCACAGACAGCCAGGAUGUUGGCUUAGAAGCAGCCAUCAUUUAAAGAAAGCGUAAUAGCUCACUGGUCGAGUCGGCCUGCGCGGAAGAUGUAACGGGGCUAAACCAUGCACCGAAGCUGCGGCAGCGACACUAUGUGUUGUUGGGUAGGGGAGCGUUCUGUAAGCCUGCGAAGGUGUGCUGUGAGGCAUGCUGGAGGUAUCAGAAGUGCGAAUGCUGACAUAAGUAACGAUAAAGCGGGUGAAAAGCCCGCUCGCCGGAAGACCAAGGGUUCCUGUCCAACGUUAAUCGGGGCAGGGUGAGUCGACCCCUAAGGCGAGGCCGAAAGGCGUAGUCGAUGGGAAACAGGUUAAUAUUCCUGUACUUGGUGUUACUGCGAAGGGGGGACGGAGAAGGCUAUGUUAGCCGGGCGACGGUUGUCCCGGUUUAAGCAUGUAGGCUGGUUGUCCAGGCAAAUCCGGAUAAUCAAGGCUGAGGUGUGAUGACGAGGCACUACGGUGCUGAAGUAACAAAUGCCCUGCUUCCAGGAAAAGCCUCUAAGCAUCAGGUAACAU